GGUCAGGUUAGGGAGUGACACAUCUGAAGAAACUACAAUGAACAGAUUGAGAAUUGGAAUAUACAGCAUUGAGUCAGCAACGGUUAGGACAGGGAAACAUGUAGAUGGAUUAUGUGGAGAAUGUCAAAGGUUAGAAACUGUACAACAUUAUAUAUUAGAAUGUAAUAAAUCCAAACAACAAAGAGAGGUAUUAAUAAAUCAGUUGAAGGCAUUAGCGGUGGAUAACUGAUCAAUGCACAAUAUAUUUGAAGGAGGAGAUGGGAAACAAAACGCUGAGGAAAAACCUGUUACAAUACAUACUGACUACUGGAAAAUGGGGAUGUAUCUAGAUUCUAGACGAAUAUAUUGUGUUUGUAGAAAGGCAUUAGAGGGCUCUCAUUAUGUGUUAUUAGACAGGAUUCACCAACUUCCCAGGAUUAGAAGAGCUGCGAACGCGUGCGGUCUACGCUGUGGGAGCCUUCGUUAUGCAGCAAUACCCCUCUGGGGAAAUCCGCUGAUUGAAGUGAAACUGUUUUUAUUUAAGAAACUUGAAGUGAAACUUUAGAAGAAGACUGAAUCAUCAUGCAAUUAAUCUUUUGAACUAAGUGUUAUUUCGCACUGCUUCUUGCGCCACACUGAAACAACCCGGAAAAAAAAGGUUAUUUGCCAGAAAAAAGAUAUUUCUGCGAUGGAAAGUAACUCAGACGUUCACCAACCAGAACCAGUCGUUUCAGAGAAGCAAGAAGAUGGCGACUUGGAAUCAGACAAGGAUUUUUCUGAAGAGGACAGCAGGGAUGCAGUGCCUGACUACAUGAAAGCAGAGCUCCACGGUGUUUCACUUCUCUCUAAUGCACAUACACAUUCUUAGAGUAUACUUAUAAGCCUGCAGUGCAGGUAUCAGCAUGUGUUGUUUUAUCAUUGCUGCAGCUCGUCAACUCUUAAUGGCUGCGGUUAAACCUUUCCACAAACACGACGGGAAGGAAGACGACUAGCUAGCUGAAGCAGAGGAUAAUGAUGAAGAGACUCAAUGUGAAAGAAAACACCAAAUAAUUAGGAAAAAUGACAUGUUCUUCCAUUUUCUCAUUCUCUGCUUUGCUCUGGGAUCAGUUUUGGUCGCACACAGUGUCGGUCGAAUUCGAAUUGUCUUUGAGUAUUUCCUUCCACUGUUUGAAAGACUCAGAAGGCCUGUGCCGGGUAAGAGAUCAGCUGUCUUCAUCACAAUUUAUAGUUUUACUAGACUCUGGUGGUGAAACGAGUUUCUAACACACUGCACUACAGCAUACUGAUCAAUUACAUUUUUGCAUAUACUGUAGAGGGAUAGAACCGUUUCUAAUCUGUUUGUCCCCCCCCCCCAGUAGCUUUAGCUAAGGAAGAUUAAGAAUCACCUGCCAACAGCACAACACCGUACAAAUAUGGAUGCAUUUUUAGCAGAAGGGACUGUCAGCUGUGGGGGUUUCACUGUGUAAUGAACUUGUUUCCCUGUUUUAGUUUUAUUCUGUGGGUGCUGCCUUUUUAUUUCACAAGGUCAGUUAAUUCAGGGUUAGGCUAGUCCAAAUACAUUGUGUACUUACUUUAUAAGGGUUAGUCACAAUUAACUUUUACUUUGGGGGAAUUCUAUUAUGGUGUCUACAGAUUUUAGGGUAAUGACAUGUAUGCUUACAAAUAAUUUGUCAUCACUAAAUAAGAAAUAUAUAUUUUAUAUACUGAAUGCAAAUUAUUACUCUAUAUGUCUUAUGUUUCCUGUGAAAUACAGAAUAAAUAUGCAAAUGAUACUGAGGUCUGAGGUUUUAAUCCUUUAAACGCAGGACAACACUGUAUUAAGAGUGUGGUAACAUGAAUUGUAGAUUCAGAAGUGGUGCUAAUGACAUUGUAAUUACAUUCACAGUGUUGUGCAGUUUCAGCGAGAUAAGUACAAAGUUUACAAGUUACAGGUACAGACUCCUGACUAUAAAGGCUCAAAAUAAGCCCAUCAGAAAAGCCCUAGGAAAUAUUGUUUUUGGUAGGUCACAUUAUUGGCACACCCAUACAAUGCAAAAUGCUCUAGUGUGGUUAAACACGUUUUCAGCCAUUAUCCAUAC